rnacentral:misc_RNA from 1 species
AUUUUUAAUUAUUUUUUAACUAUUUUUCCAUGGUAAUUUCAACUAUAAUAUUAAACAGUUACUCAUGCAGUGGACUAUGUACUUUUUCCUUUCUCCGUACCUCAAUUGGUCGAUUUAGGUUUGCCAAUUUGUGUAAAAAAUGGGCUAGCCACGUAUUGAAGUUAUACACAGGCUUAGCCCACCACAUAAAUGGCUCUAGUGGUUGUGGUUCUCCUUCUCCAACACGUGCAGGAGCCAGAAGCAGGUGGAAGGUGGGAAGCAAAGGAGUAAAAUGUAUUAGUUGUAGUUGUAGAAAUGGCACGGAUGAUAAAGCGGAAGAAAGUGCUCGGGCAUAGGGUCGUAGUUGUAGCCUAGAGGGUGUAUGGUGGUGCUGCACGGAGUGCGACUUGAGUGAUGGAUUGAUUUAUGAUAAUGAAAUUUAGAUAUAAUUAAUAUUCUAAUCGAUACUUUAAGUAACUGACCAGUCAGAGAUGACAACUGAUAAUGGCCUUUUGAUUAGGGAUGGCAACCGGCGAAUUUUAAUUUUAAAUAUACUAAAUUAUAUUUCUUAAUCAUAA